CCUACGGGAGGCAGCAGUGGGGAAUAUUGGACAAUGGGCGAAAGCCUGAUCCAGCAAUGCCGCGUGAGUGAUGAAGGCCUUCGGGUCGUAAAGCUCUUUUACCAGGGAUGAUAAUGACAGUACCUGGAGAAUAAGCUCCGGCUAACUCCGUGCCAGCAGCCGCGGUAAUACGGAGGGAGCUAGCGUUGUUCGGAAUUACUGGGCGUAAAGAGUACGUAGGCGGUUAUUCAAGUCAGAGGUGAAAGCCCGGGGCUCAACCCCGGAACUGCCUUUGAAACUAGAUAACUAGAGUCUUGGAGAGGUUAGUGGAAUUCCGAGUGUAGAGGUGAAAUUCGUAGAUAUUCGGAAGAACACCAGUGGCGAAGGCGACUAACUGGACAAGUACUGACGCUGAGGUACGAAAGCGUGGGGAGCAAACAGGAUUAGAUACCCUGGUAGUCCACGCCGUAAACGAUGAUAACUAGUUGUUCGGUCACUUGGUGACUGAGUGACGCAGCUAACGCAUUAAGUUAUCCGCCUGGGGAUACGGUGCAAGNUUAAAACNCAAGAUGACGNNGAGANGCGAGCGACACGAGGAGAG
rnacentral:rRNA from 1 species